CUGGUUUUCCCAGCUCUGGCCAGGACAGCCUAUCUGUGCAGGAGGCAUCGCUGGCACCCCGUGGGGACUGAGGACCAAGGGGGAGCUGCUCCCCCAUAUACGGUUCGUACUUCUGCUCUGUGAAGAGAGACAACUGUGCCCUGUCACCUUCACUGAAUUGUGAGGAUAUUUUUAUAAGGCAUCUAUUUCCCAGUUGAGAUAUUCCCUGACAACUUUUAGGAUAUCAUUAUGUUGUCUGCUGGCUCAUCAACUGAGAAGUCAGCUGCCAGUCUUAUUGUUGCUUCUGUAAAGGAAUGUGUUUUUCACAUCUGGCUAUGGCACUUACCCAAGUAGAAACGGGGUUUCGCCGUGUUAGCCAAGAUGGUCUCGAUCUCCUGACCUCGUGAUCCGCCCGCCUUGGCCUCCCAAAGUUCUGAGAUUAUGCAUUCUCUCUUUACAUCACAAUGACCAUGACCUUGGAUAUGGAGUCCACUCAAAAAUAAUCUGAAGUAAUAAACAAAUUCUACAAGGUUGAAGAAUACAAGGAGAUAUGGAAUCACCAAGGAAUACUGAAACAGAAGAACCAAGUAGGAGAGUGUGCAAUUCCCAGUCUCAUACCUCAUUGCAAAACCAAACCAAACAAGGCAUUGGCACAAGAGUAGACAUACAGAUCAAUGGAACAGAACUGAGACCCCAGAAAUAAAACCAAGUGGUCAGCUGACUUUUUGCAAGCUUACCAAGACCAUUGAAUGGGGAAAAAUAUUUUUUUAAUAUACGUUGCAGGGAUAAUUGGAUAUAAACAUCCAAAAGAAUGAAUUUGGAUGCUAUCUUCCAUCAUAUGCAAAAAUAACUGAAAAUGAAUUCAAGGCUAUAACUAUUAACUCAGAAAAAA